rnacentral:rRNA from 1 species
UACGUAGGUGGCAAGCGUUAUCCGGAUUUAUUGGGUGUAAAGGGCGUGUAGGCGGGACUGCAAGUCAGAUGUGAAAACUCAGGGCUCAACCCUGAGCCUGCAUUUGAAACUGUAGUUCUUGAGUGCUGGAGAGGCAAUCGGAAUUCCGUGUGUAGCGGUGAAAUGCGUAGAUAUACGGAGGAACACCAGUGGCGAAGGCGGAUUGCUGGACAGUAACUGACGCUGAGGCGCGAAAGCGUGGGUAUCGA